AACAAGAGCAGUUGGCUGGAACCGGAUCAAAGGAAUAUGUUUGACACCAUCAUCCAUGUUGUCCAAAGUAGGUAGAUAAUCUACAAGAAUAAAAGAUUGCGUGAGAAGUCGGUGCAGAUGGAAGAAUCAGUUCCUGUGAGCCCCAUACCAAGAGGAAGUGGAACAGGGAGGAGAAGGCACACGUCACCGGCAGCAGGUUGGCUUUUCUCCAUUGUAAGAAUCUUGAGACAAUGUUGGACUCAUCAGCCAAGAUAUAUCACUUGGCUUGCCAAGAAAGCACAUUUUAAAAGAGCAGUUGGAAUAAGGAUGAAAUGCUUUGAUUUUAGACUUGCAAGAAUAUAAUGCAUCCCAUGUUUCAACCUGUUCAUGAGGAGCCAUUUUGAAAGUCGUGACAUCAACCAUUGCUAUGGAGAGAGACACACAGGUAAUGAGCUUUAUAAUGCUGAAGACUUGUGUGUUUGUUUUCUUUUACAUAUAUAGUAGUAUGUUUAAUAAUGUAUGUUCAGUAAAGUGACAGCAAGUGGCCAGUAAGACUGACCACUUACUUUCAUGCUUUGUAUUUUUAACCCAAUUAUUUUUUUUCUUUUUUUGAUUAAAUCAAUUCAUAAACAAUAUUUGCACUAACCAA